GUGCUUGCUUUGGCAGCACAUAUAAAUUUGAAUGAUACAGAGAAGAUUAGCAUGGCCCCUGAGCAAGGAUGACACACAAAUUCAUGAAGCGUUCCAUAUUUUU